GACGAACGCUGGCGGCGUGCUUAACACAUGCAAGUCGUACGGUAAGGCCCUUUCGGGGGUACACGAGUGGCGAACGGGUGAGUAACACGUGAGUAACCUGCCCACAACUUUGGGAUAACGCUAGGAAACUGGUGCUAAUACUGGAUAUGUGCUCCUGCUGCAGGGUGGGGGUUGGAAAGCUCCGGCGGUUGUGGAUGGACUCGCGGCCUAUCAGCUUGUUGGUGGGGUAGUGGCCUACCAAGGCGGCGACGGGUAGCCGGCCUGAGAGGGUGACCGGCCACAUUGGGACUGAGAUACGGCCCAGACUCCUACGGGAGGCAGCAGUGGGGAAUAUUGCACAAUGGGCGCAAGCCUGAUGCAGCAACGCCGCGUGCGGGAUGACGGCCUUCGGGUUGUAAACCGCUUUCAGCAGGGACGAAGCUUUUUGUGACGGUACCUGCAGAAGAAGCACCGGCGAACUACGU
rnacentral:rRNA from 1 species